AACAAAUGCUAUGCUUUCAUUUGAGGUUAGCCGGAAAAGCACAACGGCAGCUCGUGGCAGCUGAACAGUUCGAAUUUAUUUCGUAUUGUCUUAGUUUUGGACCAGAAUGUUGUGCCCAGAAAUAUGGAAGUUUCCUACCCCAGCGUGCAAGAUUACACACAUAGAGAAGCCGAACUGGUGUCAGAAAACGUGCCAGCAGCGAACGGAAAUCCUUGCCUUACUACAGCCAAUCCGUAUGAUUUCAGUUGUGAUACCUGCGAAAAAUCCGAACUGCCUCCGUGAAUUGGAAAGCAACCUAUCUGUGAACAGCAGCUUACUCUUUCGAGUACGGCAAUUGCCCUUGAUAGAGUUACUGAAAAAUGAGUUCGUGGAGGCAUUUGUUAAACGAGGCACUUUAUAUGCGGUUAGCACAAACAUCAACUUGGAAUCUGGCGGCUGCCUUGUAAUUACACCGCAGGGAGAAUUGGAAAUGAGUCUCAGUCGUGAAACGUAUCAGAUGGUGAAAGGCAAUCUUGAUGGUAGUGUUAUUUCGAAAAGAGGAGAUAUGGUCGUAAUCAAGUUGGAUUUGAAGUCACCAAAAUGUAGAGAGCAGCUGGGGCAUGUCAACCUUGCGUUCGAUAUAACGCUACGAUGGAUUCCUCCGAAAAGUACGACUACCAAGGAGAACAACGUACCCGAUCCUCAAGUGCACGGUAGCUCGAUUGCCGAAUAUCUGCGAGUAGUGUGCCGACUGCAGGUUGAAAAUGUGCCCGAUGGUUAUAAAAAGAUAACACGAACCGAGGAAUGUAUUCCCCUGAUCGAUACCAGCAACCCAUUUAAGGACGGUGAGCAAGCAUACAUCAGGCAAGACCAACUGCUAGAGUACAUAGGUGUACUUGCACUGGACUGUAACUCGGCUCCGAUCGAAUAUGUUAGUAGUUACAGGCUCGACGAGUGCAAGAAAAAAACAGACACCGUUACAAUAUUGCAUCGCCAGGGUGUGAUAACGCCGGAGGAGGCAGACGGCAGUAUCAUGCGGUUAGUGGAGUUGGUUGGUGGGUAACUGCGUGGGGGAUCCUCAACUCCUCGGCGGAAUACAGCUUCGAUCGAUGUUGUCUUCCUGUGUUGCUCCGGAUGCGUUGGAUAACUUUUAUCACUUGCGGGAUCACUUUAGUUAGAGUUUUUCCAGUCUCUUACUUUUCCACUUUUGACACAAUUACACUCACUUAAAUCACUCCGGACGGCUGCGCCAAUUAUAAGUGCAAGGCUUCACGUUUCAUAAAAAAAACUUUAUUACUUUAUAUAUAUUUAAUAUAUAAACAUAAUGCUUUUAAAAACUUUAUAUAUAUAUAUAUAACAUAUACGUCUAAAAGUGAUUUGGAAAGAAAGAAAAGAUUUUUUACUUCAAAGGUUUUUUCACCUUGAAAAAAAUAUACAGUGAACCCUCUCUUAUUUGACACCUCUCCAAUUUGAAAAACCUCUCUUAUUUGAACAUUUUGCACAGUCCCUUGAUUUCCAGUACAUUUUUGUUCCUCUAAUUUGGAAAACCUCUGAAAUCUGUGUCCCUCUUAUUUGUGUAUGGUGUUGCCAUGGUUAUUUAAUGAUGUAUGCUCAAAUUGGCAAUCGUGUUCGCAGUUUCCUAUAGCAACAGUUAAGGCUGCAUACUAAAUGUUCUGUCUCUUUCUUGUUUGGAUGGACCUUUCAUUCACUUUCCACCUCUGUAAUUUGAAAACCCCUCUUAUUCGACAGUCCCAUCGCCUCUCAAAUAAGAGAGGGUUCACUGUAUAUAUAUGAUAGUAAUAUUUUUUUUUAACUGAUUAAUAUAUAAUUCAUUUUACAUGACUAAACUGAAGGGUAUUGUAAGAAGAUUAGAAUUAAUCAACAAAACAUUGCAGCAAAAUCAGGGAAGAGUAAGGCAGUGUGCUCUAACCACAUACAGACUACAGGUGGACGAAAUAUACUCCGUAUUUAGGAAAGAAGUAGGGACAAACUACGACAAAUACGACGAGACAGAAAUUAAAUUUUACAAUAAUAUCAUUCAAAAUUUAAUCACUAACAUAAUCGAAAGAAUUAACAAAGAGACAACUAACAACUCAGACGAUUUAAACGAGACUUUGAAAACAAAUAAGAAACUAACAUUAAAGACCACAACUCACAUAAUCAUAUCACUUUUAGCUGCAUACAAAAGACAAAAGCAAUUCCUUCCCAUUACUCACGGAGCAAUAAAAACAAAUACAAGCGUAGACACAAAUAACCUACCCAACAUGGAUCUAUUAAAAAAUCAUCAAUACGGCAACCAAUGCCAUACCAACAUUCAGCGGUAGAGAUGACGAAGCCAGGGCAAUGCUAGCUGCAUUAGAAAUGCUAAAAGAAUCAGUUGAUGAACAACAUCAUCGCAUAAUAGUGCAAGCUGUUGAAUCAAAACUAAAGGGUUUUUUCAAAACUUCUGAAAAAACCAAAAAAAUCGCCAUGACAGCUUUUGGAAAAGGACUAAAAAAGGAACUACAUCAAGGGCUAGUUUUGUCAGGUACAAUCCCCAGUCUAGAAGCUGCUAUCAAAGCAAUUGAUAUCAUCGACAAACUAAGUCAAAACUCACAGGAGAGAAAGACGAAUAAAUGGCAGAAUGGUCAGGACAACAGAUAUAAUAGUUCCAACCAACGACAGCCCAAUAAUCCAAGAAGCAAUGAACAACGCUCAAAUAACAAUUGGAGGGCACAACAGACACAAACCGGGAGACAAGGGAAUGCCCAAAAUAGACAGUCUACACAGGGAACAGGGUAUAAUACUCAAAAUAGGCAAUCCGCCAGCCCAAAUUUUUUAGGGCAACGCGAGCCACAAAGAGCAGUGCAUUGCACUCAGGUGGAGACCCAGAACCCACAGGUGGACCAGCCCUCCACAAGCCAAUACGGGCAACAUACACAAUAAAUGUGCAAAAAUCAAAUUUUAUAAAGACAAGAUUAGGGCUAGCAGAUUCAAUAUGCAACCUAUUUGUAGAUUCAGGUUCCGACAUUUCUAUCAUCAAAGGCAACAAAGUAAGACCUACACAUUUACACCGAAACAUUUUAUUUGCCUGAGCGAAAAUCAAAAUUAAAGCAAUGCUCAAUGCAAACCGCACGUGAUCUUGAUUUCACAUCGACACCGAAUAUGUGCCAUAGACACAAAUUAUAUUGCUCGUAAUGCAAAAAGAAAAAAAAACUCGUUAUGAGCGGUUCUAUUCUUUUUUUUUACAAUAUUUGGCGAAUGCGACACUUUAGUUUGAUAAAUUAUAUUAAAUACAAUUUCCGUAGAUUCUCUUGAAAAAUCAACAUAGUCAUUUUUAUCUGUACUCAAAGUAAUAAAACCUAGCACCAAGGAAACGCUGUGCAAGCAUACGUAACAUAUUGAAGGUUCAUAUGUGUAGCAAAGUGCAGAUGAGCAAAUUUUGCAACAGGAAAAUUAAUCAAACAAUUCAGUACAGCCGAAACACCAUCUCGUUUAGGACCAUUAUCGCUAUCCAAAAUAAAUGAUAACCUCUUUAAGAAGCGAAAAACGAAAUAAUCAUAACAUAUUCUGCAUACGCGCACAACCUGGUGCAAUACAUAUAGCGUUCGUGGUGCAAGCGCAACCAAAUGCGCAAGAAUGUCAAAUUAUAAUGCGGGCUACACCCGCACGCCCUAGGUACGAAAUCAGUUCAAAUAACUAAACACCAAUGAAUAUCCAUAUAUUGGAAAGAAUCGAGAGUUGGCAAAUGCAGAUACACAUGAGCAUAAUGUCAAAUAGUUGCCAAAAAAGAACGAUAGCCAACAGCAAAUGCGUUCCGACGCUUUAGGUGCAUUUCCAUAGAUAGGUAGGACAGGUACAUAGACUGUUAGAAUAAUUAGUUUAUAAUGUAGAAAUAAUGUCAAUAAAAAAAAUAACAGUCAAAUGACAGUGCGUAACGACACCUGUUAGCAUGCGUAGUUCAGUGCUUUGUCGUCAUAACUACGAUCAAAGAUACCGUUGAUCAGUUUUCAGAAUCGGUAAUAAAAUUGUCAUGCAGUUGAAACUUCAAACAUUACGUGCGUGUGUUAUAAUCAUUUCGCCUUUACACUUAAAAUGUGUUUCAUUAUGUUUUCCGAUGACGACGAAAUACAGGAAAAAAGAUUUGCGUAACAAACGUAGAGUUUUACGGAAAAAAGCAGAUCCUUUUAAACUAUCAGACAACAGCGUAAGUAAAAUAAAAUUGUGUUUGAUUAAAAUUUUAAUUUCUUCGUUUAUUUGUAGGUUUCUUCAAUGUUCCAGGGUUACAAAACCAAUUUUUUCGUUUAUUUGCUGCUUGUUUGAUUUUCUUUGCAGAGGGUAGAUAUCAGCACGGAACUGGACAAGACUUCCACGUAGCCACAAACAACGUUUUCAAACACUGCGAGAUUUGAUACCACCUCAUAUCACACUAUUGGGCGAUUGGAUACAAUUGAAUAUGACAGAAUCUGAAAGAAUGGAGGCAAAACAAUAUUUCUUUGAAAGGUCGGGAAUAUCAGACGUGGUGAUGUGUGUAGAUGGGGCCCACAUAAGGAUAGUAAAACCCAAAUAUCGCCCCCUUUGCUAUAUCAAUAGAAAACAAUAUUACAGCCUCAAUGCUAUGAUUGUUUGUGAUCACAAAUAUCGCAUCAGAGCUGCGGACGCUAGAUUUGCAGGAUCUCAUCAUGACGCUUUUACUUGGAGUAUUAGUCCCAUUCGCAAACAUUUUAGAGAUCUACAUAAUAACUUCUGGAAUAACUGACAAGUUGUUGGGUGUGUACAUAUGUACACCAAACAUUUGUUUUACUGGCGAUAAUUUGUUUAUUUUUCAUCAUAGGAGAUGCAGGGUAUCCUUCCGAACCAUGACUUAUAACACCCAAUCGUAACCCAGAUUCAGGCACACUCUAUUCUAUUUUCUAUUUUUAAUAUAUUUCAUGCCAGAGGACGAAACAUCGUUGAGAGAACAAUAGGAAUACUGAAAUCCAAAUUUAGAUGCCUGCUUGGAACAGAUGAGCGUCUCAAUUAUUCGCCAAAAAAGUGCACAAAUGUUAUAAACAUAUGUUGUGCACUACACAACAUAUGUAUAGAAAACAACAUUGGUUGGCAGCAGAAUCUUGAUGAAAUGUGUUUAUUUAUAAAUGAUUAAAUUAAAAACGAUAUAAUAAAAAAAAAAACAUUAAUCCCAGCAUAAA